rnacentral:rRNA from 1 species
GAUGAACGCUGGCGGCGUGCCUAAUACAUGCAAGUCGAGCGAACAGAUGAGGAGCUUGCUCCUCUGACGUUAGCGGCGGACGGGUGAGUAACACGUGGAUAACCUACCUAUAAGACUGGGAUAACUUCGGGAAACCGGAGCUAAUACCGGAUAAUAUAUUGAACCGCAUGGUUCAAUAGUGAAAGACGGUUUUGCUGUCACUUAUAGAUGGAUCCGCGCCGCAUUAGCUAGUUGGUAAGGUAACGGCUUACCAAGGCGACGAUGCGUAGCCGACCUGAGAGGGUGAUCGGCCACACGGGAACUGAGACACGGUCCAGACUCCUACGGGAGGCAGCAGUAGGGAAUCUUCCGCAAUGGGCGAAAGCUUGACGGAGCAACGCCGCGUGAGUGAUGAAGGUCUUCGGAUCGUAAAACUCUGUUAUUAGGGAAGAACAAAUGUGUAAGUAACUAUGCACGUCUUGACGGUACCUAAUCAGAAAGCCACGGCUAACUACGUG